UGCAGUCGACGAGAAGGGUAGCAAUACCUGAGUAAAGUGGCGCACGGGUGAGUAACACGUGACUAACCUACCUUUUAGUGGGGGAUAACCUCGGGAAACCUGGGCUAAUACCGCAUAAUACCUACGGGUCAAAGCAGCAAUGCGCUGAAAGAGGGGGUCGCGGUCGAUUAGUUAGUUGGCAGGGUAAUGGCCUACCAAGACUGUGAUCGAUAUCCGGCCUGAGAGGGCGCACGGACACACUGGAACUGAAACACGGUCCAGACUCCUACGGGAGGCAGCAGUGGGGAAUCUUGCGCAAUGGGCGAAAGCCUGACGCAGCAACGCCGCGUGAGGGAUGAAGGCCUUCGGGUUGUAAACCUCUUUCAAGCAGGGACGAUAGUGACGGUACCUGCAGAAGAAGCUCCGGCCAACUACGUGCCAGCAGCCGCGGUAAUACGUAGGGAGCGAGCGUUGUCCGGAUUUAUUGGGCGUAAAGAGCUCGUAGGCGGCUUGGUAAGUCGGAUGUGAAACCUCCAGGCUCAACCUGGAGUCGCCAUCCGAUACUGCCAUGGCUAGAGUCCGGUAGGGGCCCACGGAACUCCUGGUGUAGCGGUGAAAUGCGCAGAUAUCAGGAAGAACACCGGUGGCGAAGGCGGUGGGCUGGGCCGGCACUGACGCUGAGGAGCGAAAGCGUGGGGAGCGAACAGGAUUAGAUACCCUGGUAGUCCACGCCGUAAACGUUGGGCACUAGGUGUGGGACCUUUCAACGGGUUCCGUGCCGUAGCUAACGCAUUAAGUGCCCCGCCUGGGGAGUACGCGCAGCUAAACUCAAGAAUUGACGGGG
rnacentral:rRNA from 1 species